GAUGAACGCUAGCUACAGGCUUAACACAUGCAAGUCGAGGGGUAACAAGAGGAAAGCUUGCUUUUCUUGUUGACGACCGGCGCACGGGUGAGUAACGCGUAUCCGACCUGCCUAUAACUAGGGAAUAACCUUGCGAAAGUAAGACUAAUACCCUAUGAUUUCCUUUGAUGACAUCAAAUUAGGAAUAAAGAUUUAUCGGUUAUAGAUGGGGAUGCGUCUGAUUAACUUGUUGGCGGGGUAACGGCCCACCAAGGCAACGAUCAGUAGGGGUUCUGAGAGGAAGGUCCCCCACAUUGAACUGAGACACGGUCCAAACGCCUACGGGAGGCAGCAGUGAGGAAUAUUGGUCAAUGGGCGGAAGCCUGAACCAGCCAAGUAGCGUGCAGGAUGACGGCCCUAUGGGUUGUAAACUGCUUUUAUACAGGAAUAAAGUUAGCCACGUGUGGUUAUUUGUAGGUACUGUAUGAAUAAGGACCGGCUAAUUCCGUGCCAGCCGCCGCCGUAA
rnacentral:rRNA from 1 species